GGUCAGGCAGUUUACAGGACCGUUCGUGGAACUGGAGUACGUGGAUACGCUGGCUCCCCUGAUCGUGCUGCCGCCGAACUCGCCCACGCUUGGAUUCGUCUUUCCUGCUGCAACAGAUUUCAUGUCUUCCUUUACUGAUAUCAGUCCUCAGGGAAGUAGAGUUCAGAGUCGAGUCAAAAUUUGUGAACUGUCUCGCCAACUCCUGCCCAACGGACUCCAAGCAUGCUAUCGUGGCGCGGACAACCGACGUCAUAGCAAAGUAUGACGCGUGAGAAUAAACUGCAGCAGUGGGAGAGUAUUAGGAUCUGCUAAUAACCCUCUGAGGCUAUAGCACGCGAAUAUGCAGCUACAGUACGGAGUUUGCGAUCCCGAGGUACCCGAGCCGUAAGGGGGCUAGCAGGUCCCCACAGAUAUGAGAGUUAGAAGAUACUGCAAACAGUAUUAAAACAAUGUAAGAGUCAUGUCAGACAAAAUUAUGAUAAGAAGAAUGAAACUAUGCCUGUAUAGUUAAUUACUUGAAAUAAAUACAAGACGCGAGAUCUGCUAAUAGACUCAUCGAUAAGACCUCGCAGAUCAUUUCCAAUGAAACGAUCAAUCUCAAUAAAAAACCGAUCAGCCGAGGACGAAGAAAUUCGCAUUGUCCCGAAUACUCCCGAGAAAGGAGUCAUUAAACGGAACAGCUACCGCAAACGACGCCGUGUCCUAAUGACCAAAA